CUUAUUUUUGUCGAGACUACCAGAAUUUUUCACUAUUCAGUUAGCCUGUUGGACUUACAGAUGAUGUUUUGACAAGUGGAAAUACAUGAGGAGGUUGAAAUCAUGACCAACUCUCAUGAGGAAGAAGAUAUAAUGACUUCAGGUUCCUGGUCUAAGAGGUAAUAGGAUGGUCUCUCACUGAGUCUGGAGUCUGUGCUCUUCAUUAGGCUGAAAGAGAGAUAGCUCCAGAGAUCACCCUGCCUUUAUUCAGAGCUAUAAUUACAGACUUGCCAAAGACCAUGCUUGACUUGUUACUUGGGUGAUGGGCUCUGAACAAUGAUUUGCCUAUCUUCACAGCAAACAUGCUUAGCUAGUAAGCCAUCUCUGUAGUCUUGGAGUUAUGUUUUACAGAAAGA